GAGGUGGCCAUGACAGCAGCAGCAGCAGCUUCGCAAACUCUCCAGCCAGAGAUGGAAAGGGGGAAAUGGUCAGAAAAUAAUGACAGCAUAAAGACCCUUUGUUAGCUAGGAGCAGUUGAUGCUGAGUGACAUAAAUGGAGUGCUGGGUCAGAGUUCUAGGAUGGGGAGGAAGGGAGUAGGAGAAUUCCAGGUCCAAGAGGGGCAUUAGCACUUGUAGCUGCAAGGUUCCAGGGACCCUUUCUGGGUAAAGACUACAGGACAGACCAAGACCACAAAUAUCCCAGAAGAACACCACCUUGGAAGCAGUGAAAACUUGCAGGUCCCUAGAAUGAGUUUUGAAAGAAGAAGCAUGGAAAAGCCUGUGUUACUUCCAGUUGAGCAGAUCAAACUCUAACAUAAAAUUCAAAAUUGAGAAAUAGACUGGGAAAAUGAGCAAAUAACAACAACAAAAAAAACUUGACUGUAAAAAUCUUCUACAGUGGCAAGACAGACUGAGACAUAACUCAGAAGAAGACAAAAAUGUGAAAGCAGCAAAAACCUCAAGAAAAAUGUUAAUUGGUCCCAAGGCCAGUAAGAAUUUUUGGAAGAGUCAAAAAAAAGAGAAGAGUGGUAGAAGAAAAUUUGGGAUAAAAUAAGAGUGAUGCAAGAAAAUUAUGAAAAGAAAAUUAACAUGUUGAUUACAGAGGAACAAAAAAUACUGAAAAGAAUAAACACUUUAUAAAAUAGAAUUGGUCUAAUGAUAAAAGUCAGUAAAGAAUUAUUUUAAAAAGAAUAGGCCAAAGGAGUUACAAAAAUUCAAUGAAGAAAAGAAUUUCUUAAAAACAAGAAAUUGCCAAAAGGAAAAAGAUGCACAAAAAUUCAUGGAAAAAAUAAAUUUUUAAAAAUUAGAAUUGGGCAACUAGAAGCUAAUGAUUCCAUGAAACUUCCAGAAACAACAAAACAGAAUCAAAAGAAUGAAAAAAAAUGGAAAAAAAUGUGAAAUAUCUCACCUAAAAAUAUAUUGAAGAGAGAGAAAACUAUCAGACGAUGUGAAAGCCAUGAUAAAAAAUAGCCUAGAUAUCAUAUUUUAAGAAAUUAUCAAGGCAAAUUGUCCUAAUACCUUACUAGAAAGUAAAAAAGAAAUGGAAAGAAUCCACCUAUCAUCUCAUGAAAAAGAAACCAAAUGAAAACUACCAGGAACAGUAUAGGCAAAUUAGAGAACUCCAAGAUCAAGGAGAAAGUACUACAAGAAGCCAGGAAGAAAUAAUCCAAUUAUUUUGUAGCUAUUCUCAGAAUCACACAAGAUUCAGUAACUUCUACAUUAAAGGAGUAGACAGUUUAAAAUAUGAUAUUCUGGAAGGCAAAGAAGCUAGGGGUUAUAAUCAAGAAUCACAUACCCAGAAAAACUGAGUACAAAGCCAAUGAGAAACAAAAAAUGUAGACAUGAAAGAAUAAUCAUAAGGACUCAAGAUUUUUCUCCCUCUUUCCUUCUACUAUCUCCUUGUGACAUGUUGUCAGGCUGAAAAAUAACCUGUACUGAGGACGGAAAACAGCUAAGGCCUCCACCACUUAUGCUAAUGUUGUUACAACCUAUAUGGGCCUUCCAUUGAAAAGAAGCUAGCACAUUGUUCAAUUCCCCAGGUUGCGGAAACAAGAUGUCAGCAAUACAGGAUUAGAAACACCUACCUGUUGUCUCUCUUCUGUGCUGCCAGGGAUGACCUUGUUUGAAGCUGUUUCCUGACCUGACUCUACUUCUGUUCUCUGCUGGAUCUGGUUUCUCCUACUCAAGUCAACAGAUUCACAAAGUGCAGUAUGUGGAUAUACCUGAGUGUCGGGUGUUUGUCACAGUUAUGUGCAAAUGUCAUCAUUAAAGGUGUUGUACAUAUGGUAAUGUUUCUCUGAAGUGGCUUCUUUCUUCCUUGAUGAAAAAGAAAAAUGUUCCUCUGAAGCUUACAUACAUAAGGGAAGAGCAAAGGGUUUGU